rnacentral:rRNA from 1 species
UUAGAGUUUGAUCCAUGGCUCAGAUUGAACGCUGGCGGGCAGGCCCUAACCACAUGCAAGUCGAGCGGUAGAGAGAAGCUUGGCUUCUCUUGAGAGCGGCGGACGGGUGAGUAAUGCCUAGGAAUCUGCCUGGUAGUGGGGGAUAACGUUCGGAAACGGACGCUAAUACCGCAUACGUCCUACGGGAGAAAGCAGGGGACCUUCGGGCCUUGCGCUAUCAGAUGAGCCUAGGUCGGAUUAGCUAGUUGGUGGGGUAAUGGCUCACCAAGGCGACGAUCCGUAACUGGUCUGAGAGGAUGAUCAGUCACACUGGAACUGAGACACGGUCCAGACUCCUACGGGAGGCAGCAGUGGGGAAUAUUGGACAAUGGGCGAAAGCCUGAUCCAGCCAUGCCGCGUGUGUGAAGAAGGUCUUCGGAUUGUAAAGCACUUUAAGUUGGGAGGAAGGGUUGUAGAUUAAUACUCUGCAAUUUUGACGUUACCGACAGAAUAAGCACCGGCUAACUCUGUGCCAGCAGCCGCGGUAAUACAGAGGGUGCAAGCGUUAAUCGGAAUUACUGGGCGUAAAGCGCGCGUAGGUGGUUUGUUAAGUUGGAUGU